CCUACGGGAGGCAGCAGUGAGGAAUAUUGGUCAAUGGACGCAAGUCUGAACCAGCCAUGCCGCGUGCAGGAUGACGGCUCUAUGAGUUGUAAACUGCUUUUGUACGAGGGUAAACCCCGAUACGGGUAUCGGGUUGAAAGUAUCGUACGAAUAAGGAUCGGCAACUCGGUGUCAGCAGCCGGGGUAAAUAGGAGGAUCCGAGCGUUAUUCGGAUUUAUUUGGUUUAAGGGGGGCGUACGCGGGUUGAUAAGUUAGAGGUGAAAUGUCCGGGGUCAACCCCGAAACUGCCUCUAAUACUGUUGGACUAGAGAAUAGUUGCGGUAGGCGGAAUGUAUGGUGUAGCGGUGAAAUGCUUAGAGAUCAUACAGAACACCGAUUGCGAAGGCAGCUUACCAAACUAUAUCUGACGUUGAGGCACGAAAGCGUGGGUAGCAAACAGGAUUAGAUACCCCAGUAGUC
rnacentral:rRNA from 1 species